UACGGAGGGGUAGCGUUGUUCGGAAUUACUGGGCGUAAAGCGCACGUAGGCGGCUUUGUAAGUCAGAGGUGAAAGCCCGGAGCUUAACUCCGGAAUUGCCUUUGAGACUGCAUCGCUUGAAUCCAGGAGAGGUGAGUGGAAUUCCGAGUGUAGAGGUGAAAUUCGUAGAUAUUCGGAAGAACACCAGUGGCGAAGGCGGCUCACUGGACUGGUAUUGACGCUGAGGUGCGAAAGCGUGGGGAGCAAACAGG
rnacentral:rRNA from 1 species